UAAACGACUCUCGGCAACGGAUAUCUCGGCUCUCGCAUCGAUGAGGAACGUAGCGAAAUGCGAUACUUGGUGUGAAUUGCAGAAUCCCGUGAACCAUCGAGUCUUUGAACGCAAGUUGCGCCCGAAGCCGUUAGGCCGAGGGCACGUCUGCCUGGGCGUCACAC
rnacentral:rRNA from 1 species